rnacentral:rRNA from 1 species
GACGAACGCUGGCGGCGUGCCUAAUACAUGCCAGUAGAACGCACAGUUUAUACCGUAGCUUGCUACACCAUAGACUGUGAGUUGCGAACGGGUGAGUAACGCGUAGGUAACCUGCCUGGUAGCGGGGGAUAACUAUUGGAAACGAUAGCUAAUACCGCAUAAUAUUGAUUAUUGCAUGAUAAUUGAUUGAAAGAUGCUAUUGCAUCACUACCAGAUGGACCUGCGUUGUAUUAGCUAGUAGGUGAGGUAACGGCUCACCUAGGCGACGAUACAUAGCCGACCUGAUAGGGUGAUCUGCCACACUGGGACUGAGACACGGCCCAGACUCCUACGGGAGGCAGCAGUAGGGAAUCUUCGGCAAUGGACGAAAGUCUGACCGAGCAACGCCGCGUGAGUGAAGAAGGUUUUCGGAUCGUAAAGCUCUGUUGUAAGAGAAGAACGGGUGUGAGAGUGGAAAGUUCACACUGUGACGGUAUCUUACCAGAAAGGGACGGCUAACUACGUG